CGCUGAGCAGAAAUAAAACUACUGACUCAAACAUUGCAAACAGAUGCCGCCGGCCAGAGCCCAGGGUCCGCGGCCAGAUGCUGUUCUGAGAACCCUGGGAGGGCAGAAGCUGGGAGCCUGGUCCCUCCAGACCCUACAGGUUGGGGUGGGGGCUGCUGCAGGGGGAGGUGUGGGGUGCUGCUAAGGGGCUUUCAGAAAUGGAGGGGGGCAGGAAAUGAAGAAGGAAAGGGGGGCCCAUCUUUCUUUUCUUGAACUUUCUUCAAGAAUUCGGCCAGUUCGCCACUUGAGACCUGCCCGUUUCUGGAUUUUAAUGGCCUUUUUUCCCAGGCAGAGGUGAAAGAAACCCGGGAAGCCUCCUGGAAAUCCCAUGUGAGUUCUCCUCAAAUACCCCCAAAUAAAUAUGCUCUGAGUGCCCUAAACCCCCUUCUAAGAAGAUUUUUGCCCCUAAGCGCUCAAGAGAGUUCUAGAACUUCCAUCUCGUAAUUAUCUCCCCCCACCUCCACCCACGUCUGCUGCUUCAUCUGCUAGACUGCAGUCACCAGGACCUUCUUAAAACCUGCCAAGUCCUGCUCUUUCUCCUACACCUUCAAUGGCUCCCAACUGUCCACCGUAGAGCGUCUCAAAGGGUGGUCUGAGGAGGGCCUGCAUCAGAGUUCCCUGGGAUGGUUCCCAGGGCCCCACCCCUGGGUUAAGGAAUCCACCUCUUUAGGGGCCUGGGAAUCUGCAUUGUAAACAAUGUGAAAGGCUUUCUGGAAGGAGACUAAAUGUAAUUAUUUGUUUAGAAAAAUGAGCACACUGUAGAGCCAGUCAGGUAAUGUCGAGUGGAAAGCCGGUGCAGCCCUCCUCAUGCUGUUUAUUCAGCAGGUGUUUGGACCACCUACGCACCGAGCUAGGGUCUGGAUCCCUGGGAUCCAGUCUGGACAAGGUAAGUGAGGUUCUGGUUGUCUUGUAUUUCCAGUGACUUGGCAGAAAGAAGAGCUGGACGAUGACUAGAAGGUUCCAGAAGACAUCAUGGGGAGACAUCUCAGGAAGGAAAAGUGAAUUAUCCACAGGAAUUCAGGGGCGGUGCUCCCCAUCGAAGGCUGGCAUCAGGAAAGACUCUGAGGUCAGAUCCAGACACGGGAUUGGAGGUGCUGAUAAACUCUGCUGCGGCACAGACUUUGGGGAGAAGGAAACCUAUAGUCCCGAUGAACGACUGCGUUGAUUUGGCGACCAGGUUCACUUGGCAUUUGCAGAGCGAGCUAUUUCAAGAAUGUGCAGAUUCAGUCCUGAAAAUGGCCUAGGAGAAGACUGGCUGGGCUUCAGAGGAGCAGAACAAAUGAGUUCCCCCUGCCCACCCCCCUGCUCCUUGCACCCCAUCCUGCGAUUUCCUUUGUCUCAAUCCAAAAUCCCCCUUUACAUGAUCCCGGAGGCUUCCUAAUAAAAUAGAACUGUAACUUUAUCUAAGACGAGUG
rnacentral:lncRNA from 1 species